rnacentral:tRNA from 1 species
CGUCGCCAACAGGAUUCGAACCUGUGCAGGAAAAUCUCAAUGGAUUUCAAGUCCAUCGCCUUAACCACUCGGCGACUGCAUG